rnacentral:rRNA from 1 species
AACUUGUGGAAGGAUCAUUG